AUCAAUAGAAUCGCCUUUGCCUCUUCCUUUUUUUAGUCCCAAUGAUAAAUCAGUACUAGCUGCUCCUCCUUCAGACAGAGACCUGCCAACUCUUGUAACUGGAGAUGACUGGGUUAGUUUUGAUUCUCCCUUCAUCCAUUUUAUCUCAUUUCAGACUCGGCGUGGCCUAUUGUCGGAAGUGUUGCUGCCGCUGUUGCUGUGGGCCUCGUGGUAGUAUCUGGGCUCAUCUUCUACACCAACAAACCCAGUGUGGCGCCUUCUGAGCAGCCUGCAGAUGAAACGGCGAUGGAGUGACGGAAAUCUGAUUUCAGCCAAAGAAACAUGGAAGGAAAGGAGGAAAUCCAAGGAUUUGGCUCAAGAACUGGAAGGAGGGAAAGAAGAGAAAUAUUUGCCCUGUUCUUGAAACAGAGGGACAUUUGCAGCAGACUCCUUUUAGGACCUGCGUUGGGACUUGGCCUUCAAUUCUGGAGGUGGCUCAAGUUUUGGGUGACACCCAAUGCUUUUGGAUGCUUAAAACAAACAGAAAAAGAACAAUUGACAAGCUCCAUGGAAGGACCUCUUCCAAAUUGGCCGAGUGGACAUUAAGAUGACAAGUGAGAUAGAUUAUAAAUGAGGAUUGAAAUGAUGCACACUGGGAAUUCCACCUUCUCUCUACCAUGUUGGGGAAUGGGGAUGACUGUCCAAGGAAGAGAUUGUGGGAGAAGGAGGAAAGGUCCACCCAGUCUGCAGACUCCAAUGAAAAUAGGCAAAGCCCACUCACCCCUUGUACAUAAUAAGAAAAAGAUUGUAAAUAAAACUUGGACUAU